GCGAAACUAAUCGAGAGGGCCAGAUUGAUGCCACAUUACGACCACUCAGUUGAAAAUCAUGUGAGGGAUCGUAAUGUGGCAUCGAUCUGGCCCUAUUUAUUUCCUCCCAA
rnacentral:pre_miRNA from 1 species